CCUACGGGUGACAGCAGUGGGGAAUAUUGGACAAUGGGGGGAACCCUGAUCCAGCGACGCCGCGUGAGUGAAGAAGUAUUUCGGUAUGUAAAGCUCUAUCAGCAGGGAAGAAACUGACGGUACCUGACUAAGAAGCCCCCGCUAACUACGUGCCAGCAGCCGCGGUAAUACGUAGGGGGCAAGCGUUAACCGGAUUUACUGGGUGUAAAGGGAGCGUAGACGGUGCAGCAAGUCUGAUGUGAAAGGUCGGGGCCCAACCCCGGGACUGCAUUGGAAACUGUUGAACUGGAGUGCAGGAGAGGUAGGCGGAAUUCCUAGUGUAGCGGUGAAAUGCGUAGAUAUUAGGAGGAACACCAGUGGCGAAGGCGGCUUACUGGACUGUAACUGACGUUGAGGCUCGAAAGCGUGGGGAGCGAACAGGAUUAGAUACCCGAGUAGUC
rnacentral:rRNA from 1 species